AAUUAUUUCUUCAAGCGGAGCAUUGAUAAAAACGUGAAAAUGUAUUUCGCAUAAUACAAACAUGUAAAGAUGAAAGAAGAUGUCAUGGAAGAAUGCCAGCCAAAUCUUCUUUCUUUUCAUAUUCAUGAUUGUGAAUGAAAUUCGAGAUAUUCAGUGUACUAAUUAAGAAAGAGAUGUAACGAUAAAAUCAAGUAACUUGGCCAACCACUGCAUAUUGCACAUGAAAAAUCUGCAGUGGAUUCAACAUACACUUUGAAAAGAAAACAUAGAAGGUGUUUGGCUAAGCUUAUAAGUUGGUUAAACUAGGAGUAUUUUUUGGCUUAUCUACGCACUUAUAAGUUAAGUGCUUAUAAGCCAAAAGUUAUAAGUUUGUCUCCCCCAACUUAUCAAAUUUCAGCUUAUAAGCACUUUAGGUUUGACCAAAAUAUUUACUAUUAUAUCCCUAAAAUACAUAUUUUUAAAACAAAACUCUUUGUAUACCUAGUUCUUCAGCUGCUUAUUAUUAAUUUCAGUACUUUUAUUCAAACACGUAACUGUUUAUUUUUUAAAUUAGAUUCACUACUUAAAAGUGUUUUUCAUCACCUAAUGCUUAUCAACUACGCUAAACAGAAGCUAGUCUUAAUUCAAAUAACGAGCCGACGGGUCGCAAGAGCUGCUGAACUGAAUCAUUAAGUAGACGCCUGCACUGUCCGCAUAUCAUCCUGUAUCAACCACGGUGGAAGUCCAAUUAGGUAUCCAGCAGCAACAACAAUAACAAUAAUGACCCCGUAUCGUUCCACAAGUGAGAUCUGGGGAGGGUAGUAUGUACGGAGCCUUAACUCAACCCAUCCCCGAUGGGGUGAGGAUCGAAGAGAAAACUUUAUUACAGUGAAGAUGCAAAUAAGUAUUCACAUCUUUAAGCCUUUAUCCAGUUUCAAUGUAAGUAGAGUAUCGAUACCAAGAUAAAGCAGUAAGUCCAUACACAAUUCUUCAUUGCAUCAUUUUGGAAAAUGAACUAUGUAAUUGAUGAAGCUUUCUUAAAUUCCCUUGUAUAUAAGUACUAUAAAAGCAAUGGGCCAUAGAAGAAUGAGAAACAGAAUAUAUGGAAUAAGUUUGAGCAACACCAAAUAUAAGGAUUCGUAAGGUUGGAAGUUCCUAAACAUGAUGGCUUUCAACUGGUUACCAAAGAGGAAAAACUUGUUUAAAGUGCUGGAAAACAAAGAAUAAUUUUCUCCCUCUACUCAUUUACAGCCAAUCUGUAUAAGUCCAAAAAAAAUUUAAGCAAUCGAAUUCAAAUUUUGAAUAUCACCUUUAUUUUGUUGUUAGGCGUCUGUUUUGCACAUGCUUCACAAAGUUAUUUAUUAAAGCCUAAAUUUAUCAAUGUCUAAACAUUUUUUUCCUAAAUUACACAUAUGUCUACAAUAUAACACGAACUAUCAAGUACAACAAUUUAGAAUUAUGACUAAGCAUAUAAUAUUAGAAUUGAAAAGUAACAACAGCAGGAACACAACGACAAUACAACAUGAAUAUUUUACGGAGAAACACGCAGCAUAAAAAACUGUUGAUAGUCGAACAAUGUGGAAAAAAAAUGUAGAAAUUACCUCUUACAGUCGUAGGUGUCGCUCUUUCCCCCCUAGAGUACCUGUACAUAAAAAAUUAGACACUCCAAAUUGCGAAGCCAUAUAUUCCAAGUAAAUAAUUCACAAACUGCAGAACAAAUCUUUGACGAAAGAACAACUUGAAUUUGUAAGUCUUGCUAUGAAAAAUCAAAUUGUGCCCAACCUAACUCACAAGUCACAACCAAAAAAUAAUAAUCUAGAGUUGAGAAUGUGUCUACGCAUGCGUUGUUCAUUUUUUUGUUGCCUCUCUUACACCCGGAGGAUGACAUAAAAUCAAAUAGAAAGCUAAAAUUCAUUGAAGAGUUUUAUCAAACACGUCAAGACCAAAGGAUUGUACUCAAGAAUUCAAAAUAAAAAAAAAAAUUAAACUUUAGAAGCAAAGGGACUGGCGAAGAACUUCAGCCAAGUCCCAGUGUCGUUUGUCAAGAAAAUGCUACCGAUCAAAGAGAUCGAAUGUGUGAUGGCUUGCAUGGUUAAUUGAAAAAAUAGAAAAUUAUUUUCUUAGCAUUUCUGUAUUUCCCCUUUUCUUAUUAGAAAGUUUAUAUCUCAAACUGAAAGCCAUGAGACUGAAAACCUAUAAAAGUUCCCUAACUCAGCUUAUACUAUUCUUGUAACCACAUCCUUUGGUGUUCAAACGACAAUCAUAAAGUUCAACUGUGUAAAAAAGAAGCAGAAAAUUGCAAAAAGAACCGCCAGUAGAAUGAAAAUAAACGAAAAGAGAAAGAACUUACCCGAGAAUAACCCAAGCUAUCGGAAGAAGAAGAACCACUGGAAUGGACAUGACCAGAGAAAGGAAAUUAAGUUGAUUUCACAUUACUAUUACUAUUCAGAAAGCUCAAAUUAAAUUGCAAAUAAAAGACGCGUCUGCAAUUUGUACUUUGUAGCAAAGUGAACACGUCUAUACCAUUCAAGGUUAAAGGUACAAUCACA
rnacentral:lncRNA from 1 species